CUACGGAGGGUGCAAGCGUUGUUCGGAAUCACUGGGCGUAAAGGGCGCGCAGGCGGUUUGGUAAGUCAGAUGUGAAAGCCCACGGCUCGACCGUGGAAGUGCAUUUGAAACUGUCAGACUUGAGUACUAGAGGGGAAAGUGGAAUUCCCGGUGUAGAGGUGAAAUUCGUAGAUAUCGGGAGGAAUACCGGUGGCGAAGGCGACUUUCUGGCUAGAUACUGACGCUGAGGCGCGAAAGCGUGGGGAGCAAACAGGAUUAGAAACCCGGGUAGUCC
rnacentral:rRNA from 1 species